rnacentral:rRNA from 1 species
GAUGAACGCUGGCGGCGUGCCUAAUACAUGCAAGUCGAGCGAACGGACGAGAAGCUUGCUUCUCUGAUGUUAGCGGCGGACGGGUGAGUAACACGUGGAUAACCUACCUAUAAGACUGGGAUAACUUCGGGAAACCGGAGCUAAUACCGGAUAAUAUUUUGAACCGCAUGGUUCAAAAGUGAAAGACGGUCUUGCUGUCACUUAUAGAUGGAUCCGCGCUGCAUUAGCUAGUUGGUAAGGUAACGGCUUACCAAGGCAACGAUGCAUAGCCGACCUGGGAGGGUGGCCGGCCUGAGUGGAACGACGGCCAGGUCCGGACUCCGACGGGGGGCAGCAGUAGGGGAUCUGCAGCAAUGGGCGAAAGCGUGCCGGAGCAGCGCGGCGUGAGUAAUGAAGGUCUUCGGAGCGUAAAGCUCUGUUAGUAGGGAAGAACAUUUGUGUAAGUAAAUGUGCACAUCGUGACGGUACCUAAUCAGAAAGCAACGGCUAACUACGUG